GACGAACGCUGGCGGCGUGCCUAAUACAUGCAAGUCGAACGCAGUGGGGACGGGUGAGUAACACGUGGGUAACCUCCCAUCAGAGGGGAUAACACUUGGAAACAGGUGCUAAACCGAUACUGAUGGAUGGACCCGCGGUGCAUUAGCUGGUUGGUGAGGUAACGGCGCACCAAGGCCACGAUGCCUAGACGACGUGGGAGGGUGGUCUGCCACACUGGGGCUGAGACGCGGCCCAGACGCCUACGGGAGGCAGCAGUAGAGAAUCUUCGGCAGUGGACGAAAGUCUGACCGAGCAACGCCGCGUGAGUGAAAAAAGUUUUCGGAUCGUAAAACUCUAUUGUUAGAGAAGCGGUAUCUAACCAGAAAGCCACGGCUAACUACGUGCCAGCCGCCGCGGUAAUUC
rnacentral:rRNA from 1 species